AUUGAACGCUGGCGGCAGGCCUAACACAUGCAAGUCGAACGAGUGGCGGACGGGUGAGUAAUGUCUGGGAAACUGCCUGAUGGAGGGGGAUAACUACUGGUAACGGUAGCUAAUACCGCAUACCAUCAGAUGUGCCCAGAUGGGCUUAGCUAGUUGGUGGGGUAACGGCUCACCAAGGAGACGAUCCCUAGCUGGUCUGAGAGGAUGACAGGCCACACUGGAACUGGUACACGGACCAGACGCCUACGUGAGGCAGCAGUGGGGAAUAGUGCACAAUGGGCGCAAGCCUGAUGCAGCGAUGCCGCGGGUAUGAAGAAGGCCUUCGGGUUGUAAAGUACUUUCAGCGGGGAGGCGGUACCCGCAGAAGAAGCACCGGCUAACUCCGUGCCAGCAGCCGCGGUAAUAC
rnacentral:rRNA from 1 species